rnacentral:misc_RNA from 1 species
GACUGCUGCCCCACCCGCUC